rnacentral:rRNA from 1 species
AACGAACGCUGGCGGCGUGGAUAAGACAUGCAAGUCGAACGGGACAGGUAGCAAUAUCUGUCUAGUGGCGAACGGGUGCGUAACACGUGGGCAACAUGCCUGGAAGAGCGGGAUAGCCCGGGGAAACUCGGAUUAAUACCGCAUGUGACAACGGGGCGGCUUCGCCCUGUUUUCAAAGGUGGGGACCGCAAGGCCUGCCGCUUCCAGAUUGGCCCGCGUCCUAUCAGCUAGUUGGCGGGGUAACGGCCCACCAAGGCGACGACGGGUAGCUGGUCUGAGAGGACGACCAGCCACACUGGAACGGAGACACGGUCCAGACACCUACGGGUGGCAGCAGUCGAGAAUCUUUCACAAUGGGGGAAACCCUGAUGGAGCGACGCCGCGUGGAGGAUGACGGUCUUCGGAUUGUAAACUCCUGUCAUGAAAGAACAAGCGAUGCGGGUGAACAGCCUGCAAAGUUGAUAGUAUUUCAAGAGGAAGGGACGGCUAACUUCGUGCCAGCCGCCGCAGUAAGAC